GACGAACGCUGGCGGCGUGCUUAACACAUGCAAGUCGAACGGAAAGGCCCUGCUUUUGUGGGGUGCUCGAGUGGCGAACGGGUGGGUAACAAGUGUGCAACCUGCCCUUGACUUUGGGAUAACUUCAGGAAACUGGGGCUAAUCCCGGAUAGGAGCUCCUGCUGCAUGGUGGGCGUUGGAUAGUUUCGGCGGUCGGGGAUGGAUUCGCGGGUUAUAGGCUUGUUGGUGGGGUAGUGGCUUACCAAGGCUUUGAAGGGUAGCCGGCUUGUGAGGGUGACCGGCCACAUUAGGACUGAGAGACGGCCCAGACUCCAACGGGAGGCAGCAGUGGGGAAUAUUGCACAAUGGGCGGGAGCCUGAUGCAGCAACGCCGCGUGCGGGAUGACGGCCUUCUGGGUGUAAACCGCUUUCGCCUGUGACGAAGCGUGAGUGACGGUAAUGGGUAAAGAAGCACCGGCUAACUACGUG
rnacentral:rRNA from 1 species